rnacentral:tRNA from 1 species
GGACUCAAUUGAGGCAUAAAAGAAUGCCACAGAGGCAACCUGAGUUUGACAAACUCAAAUUAUACUUUUAACUAAUUC